rnacentral:rRNA from 1 species
UACGAAGGGGGCUAGGCGUUGUUCGGAAUUACUGGGCGUAAAGCGUGCGCAGGCGGCUUCUCAAGUCAGGGGUGAAAGCCCAGAGCUCAACUCUGGAAUUGCCUUUGAGACUGAGUGGCUUGAGUACGAGAGAGGUGAGUGGAAUUCCAGUGUAGAGGUGAAAUUCGUAGAUAUUGGGAAGGAACACCGGUGGCGAAGGCGGCUCACUGGCUCGUAACUGACGCUCAUGCACGACAGCGUGGGGAUCAAACAGG